rnacentral:rRNA from 1 species
ACGAACGACAACGACGAAGAACCUUACCAGGCCUUGACAUGCAGAGAACUUCCAGAGAUGGAUUGGUGCCUUCGGGAACUCUGACACAGGUGCUGCAUGGCUGUCGUCAGCUACGUGUCGUGAGAUGUUGGGUUAAGUCCCGUAACGAGCGCAACCCUUGUCCUUAGUUACCAGCACGUUAUGGUGGGCACUCUAAGGAGACUGCCGGUGACAAACCGGAGGAAGGUGGGGAUGACGUCAAGUCAUCAUGGCCCUUACGGCCUGGGCUACACACGUGCUACAAUGGUCGGUACAAAGGGUUGCCAAGCCGCGAGGUGGAGCUAAUCCCAUAAAACCGAUCGUAGUCCGGAUCGCAGUCUGCAACUCGACUGCGUGAAGUCGGAAUCGCUAGUAAUCGUGAAUCAGAAUGUCACGGUGAAUACGUUCCCGGGCCUU